UAUGACCGAGGGUGCACGAACAACUUUCUUGAAGUAUUCUGCUCGAGGAUAGAACCUUCGAAAAACAAUUUCCGUGGAUAUGUACAUGAAGCAUUAAAGUCUAGCAAGGCAGGAAACAUUCAAGUAACAGAAGUUGAUAACUCCGAUGAGGAUAGAAGAGUCAAGUAUUUUCACAACGAGAAUCUGUGAGAGAAUUCUUCUAAUGUGAUCAACGAAAGGAGUAUAUAUUCAGUAGCAAGUGAACGAGCCAAUUGACUAGCAAAACAAGCCAAACGCCGGAGAUGGCGACGACGCCAAUGAUGCCGCCGAUGGGGAACCCAAACUUUGAUGGAGGUGCACCGCCGCAGCCGGGGACUGACAUGACAGGAAUAUGCUUCAGGGACCAGUUAUGGCUGAAUACAUAUCCGCUGGAUCGUAACCUAGUAUUUGACUACUUUGCUCUUUCUCCUUUCUAUGACUGGACUUGCAACAAUGAGCAACUCCGAUCACGCGCCAUUCACCCGCUCGAUAUUUCUCAUUUAUCGAAAAUGACGGGCAGCGAAUACACGCUGAGUGAAGUUAUGGAGCCACAUCUCUUUGUCAUUCGUAAGCAAAAGAGGGAUAGUCCCGAGAAGGUAACACCGAUGUUGACUUAUUAUAUAUUGGAUGGCUCAAUUUACCAAGCUCCGCAGCUCUGCAAUGUGUUUGCAGGUCGACUGGUUGGCAGGUGCUUAAAACAGAGAAGCGCUCGCUUCGGUCGCCUCACUUCGUCGCUUCUCGCUUUUUAGUGGGAAGCGCACGCUUUUGUCUACCUGAGUCGCUUCAUAUAGCAGAAGCGGUAAUGGGGUCGCCUCGCUUUGCUUCUCGCUUUAAGCGAGGAAGCGACUGCUUUUCACAACCCUGUCGAUUGCUUGAUAAAUUCUGGGCUUUGAGCUGGUUUUUGAUUGGAGAAUUGAAGCUGUUUCUCUGCUUUAUUCUGCUUGGAUUUGCUGAGCUCCACUCUUUAUUUCUUCCUUUAUUUGGCUAUUCCGGCUUGUUUCAAGUUUAGGGACGUGCUUUAUAUCAUAUAUCCAAAGCUUUCAGUUCUGCAGCUUCAAAGUUGGAAAAGACCGGAUAUGUGGCUGCUGAAAAUGAGAGUGAAGCAUCUGAACCUAAGCCUGCUAAGGAGACCAUUGACUUCAAGGAACUUAAGCGAGUUGAUCAUAUCCUUGCUUCCCUACAACGAAAGCUACCACCAGUACCUCCACCCCCACCAUUUCCGGAAGGCUAUGCACCACCUUCCACAGCAGAAGCAUCUGAAAACCAGCAAGCAGAGACUCAGUUGCCUCCAGUUGAUCCCAUCAUCGACCAAGGUCCGUCUAAGCGAAUGAAAGUAUGAAAUGAUACUGUCUAAGCAAUUGGUGGCUGCAAGAAUUUGUACGAUGCUCCAGAUGGUUCUGAGUGAUCCUUAACUGAAUAUUUCCUGCAGUUAGUGGCUAUGAGACUUCUACGACACUUGAAAUGGUCCAGAGUCAUCCUUAACUUGAUAGUAGAUUUUUCUGUAUAAAAAGUAGAGUGUUAAAUCUUUGUCUUAGGUCAGAACUUUUCAUGUAGAUCCUGUCAAGGAUAUAGUUCACCUGUAGGCUCUUUGGCCUUGUAAUGCUGUUACAUUAGUUUGCAAUCGUGUAAGUUUACCCGAGCUUUCAUAUCUUGGAACACACUUAUUGGCUCAAAUAUUUUAACAAAUGCUUUCUUCAUUUGGAAAUUGGAAUGUUUUUCAGGGUUGAA